GCCUCACGUUUUAAAUCUGUAACACGAUCGAAUGAUCUAUGAGAGAAUUAAUUCGAUCGAAUUUGUACGUAGAUAGACAAAGUUUCCAUAAGCGAAGCAUUGUACGAUUAAAGAGAAAAAGAGCUAAUCUAUUCGAUCGCAAUGAUCUCGUUAAUUUGGAAACACGAUACUACACUAUCCAUUUCAUUCGUUCGCACAAUGCUCGUGACGGAUAGACAAGUCGAAGAGCUGCAAGAGAGCAUAUGCAUGUUCGCACAACGAGGGAAAGCCUCCUGUAGGCAGAAGGGUCGGAGAAAUGGAGAAAGAGAAAGAGAAGGGAACGGUAUGUUUCCAACAGUCGGCGGAAAUUAAUGGCUGAAGCGUACGGAUAUAUCCUGUAGAUACUCACCAGCUGUACUCAGGCCCGGACUGGAGGUGAACUUGGCCACGUCGACGAUUUUUACAGCGAAAGUCUGCCCGGUCUGUCGGUGAAUGCAUUUCCGAACGACGCUGAAUGGUCCCCUGAGACAAUGGAAGAGAAAGACAUUAAUAUGAAAGAAUGAACGCUGAGAUAAUUGGAAUUCUCAUUUUCCUUGGAAAUAUCUUCAUCUUCUUUGAUAACAUCAUUAUUAUUAUUAUUGUUGUUGUUGUUGUUGUUAUUGUUGUUGUUAUUAUUAUUAUUACUGUUACUAUAAAUACUUUCUCGAGAAUAAUUCUGUAAUAAUUCAAUUCAAAUCCUCCGUUUCUUUAGUAGAAAAUAAACCAACGAGUUUCUCGGAUUGGAAGUUGGGAUCGAGUAUCUCGCACUAUGCUUUCUCGACUGUCGGGACCCGAUAAAAGCAUCGUUCGCGAACCGUCCACGAAGGAAAUUGAUAAUACGAGUUUUCGCCACGUGUCUGCACAUCGGCGGAACAAUGGAGUAUCCAGUCACGUCUGCUGCGAUCUUUUUCUUACGUUGGUGUCGAGUGGAGUAACUCGGUUACAUGGAGUCAAUCUUCUUCCUCCCUCUACUGAGUUCAAGUGGAUCGAAGUUUUGCCACUUCACUGCGAUCAGCUCUACGUUUGUGUCGACCUCGAUGCUACUUUCCUACUACUUCAACGAACAAUAUGAAAUGAAUUUCGUCCUUGACGCCUAUUCAAUAUCACGCUUUGCAUUUGUAUAUAUAUCCGCGAGGCAUGUUCCUCUUGGCACGCCCGAAAAUCCGAUCUCUCGGAUUUCCUCCGAUUAUCCAAAUAUAUACAUUUACUAUUACACUCGACCCUCUUAUGUCGUUAGAAAAACAAUAUCAAUUUUUCCUAUAUAAUCGUUUCGAUUUUCAAAUUCUAUCCAGAUUAAAAAUCGAUUAGAAAUUGAUACAAUCUCUGCGGUGUAUCACUUAAAUAUAUUUCGUUCAAGUUUAUAUGCGAUUACGAUUAUUCUCUUAGAUAGACGUACUUCUAUCUAUAAUUCAAUGAUUUGUUAUAAAUAAGAAAAUAAAAUAGAUUGUACUGUACGAAAAAAAU